GUGGAUUAGAUACCCUGGUAGUCCUAGCCCUAAACGAUCAGGACUUGGGGUGCAUCCCGUUGGGGGUGCGUCCCGUAGCUAACGCGUUAAGUCCUGCGCCUGGGGAGUACGGUCGCAAGACUGAAACUCAAAGGAAUUGACGGGGGCCCGCACAAGCGGUGGAACAUGUGGUUCAAUUCGACGCAACGCGAAGAACCUUACCUGGGCUUGAACCGCUACUGACCAGCGGUGGAAACAUCGCCUUCUCGCAAGAGACAGUAGUAGAGGUGCUGCAUGGCCGUCGACUGCU
rnacentral:rRNA from 1 species